GAGGCCUCUCCUACUUCCUAUUUAGAUCUUCACAGUAUCCUGUAAGAGGGCCUUCCCUAUCCUGUCAUCAGACUUCCCCUACUUCUGUCAAGAGUCUCCUCUAUUUCCUGGCAGCAGUCCUCUAGCUCAUCCCUGAAGACCUCCUCUUCAAGCAAUGACAAAGACAGAGCCUCAGCCAGCUGGAUCAGGCAGCAUCUCCCAAGAUCCCCAGGCCACAGUCCCUAUCCUUCAGAGGAAAGCAAGUCCCAAAUCCGUGGAACUUGAGCUCUUUCUGCACCUCACCUCCACCCCUUGCCCUGCUAACUCCACCAGGGCCUAUCCAGGGCAUUGGCAAGAGGAACAGUGUAAGUCUUGGACCACAGAUUCCCCUUCCUGCCCAAAUAAAGGAUCCACAACCCUCCUGUCUGGCCCACAACAGACCACAGACACUUGCACAUUGCUGUAUUCACUCCACAGCAGUCUGUCAGCACCUACUGUUAUGUGCUCUCACCAGCCACCCAAGAAAGGCCCGAAGGUAAUGAGUGGGCAGAGCUGUGCACCUGAGAGGAGCAGAGCUGGCUUUGUCCCUGAGUCCUCCCUACCCUGACCCCCCAGGGAGGGAAAUGUAACCCUGCACACUCACGCCCAUUCAUGUGGGACAGCACUUGUCCAGGGUAAUGCACAGCAGCCCCAGCAUGGACAGAUUUUGGAAGUCUUGACAAUCGGUGACUAGUAAGACAAACGCCCUUCCCUCGCUUUACUUCUUCCCUGUCGCUACCCAAAGCAGAUGAAGUAAAAUGAUUUGGGCCUGAGAGAUUCUGUAAAACCCCAGGACAUAAAAAUUACUGUUGAUUUGUUUCAAGUUUCCUGUCAAUCAUUCUUUUCAUUAUUGGUAUUCUGUAAGCGUGGAUUUAACUGGGAAUAGAUGCUGGGACUACAUGCUACAUAAGAGCCGGUCAAGACAAACAGGAAAUAAGACACAGCCCUCCCAAGAGCCUGGAGUCUACUCUUUCAAAUGCAAGUGACUUGCUCCCACAUCAUGAUGGACCACUUGCCUGUGAGGCCCCAUGGAAAUUGAAAUAGAUUCAGAUGGACCAGUAGCCCUGGGUAGACCAGCAACACUGUUCUGGGCUUUUCAUCAAAACUGUUGGAAAAGAAUUCAGGCAUCCUGAUGCAGGGAUGGUGAGGGUUGCAUUCAAGCAGCUUUGUACCACAUGGGGACAGCCCAAGGCACCAACAGAAAAAUCCAGCCUGUGAGAUGGCCAGAAACACUAGCUGUAUGUUUUUUGUUAUACUACCCAGUAAAUCUCGACUUUUGAACAAUCUGCUUUCAAUUGUGUUUCUGCCACUUGAGACUGAAUU
rnacentral:lncRNA from 1 species